rnacentral:rRNA from 1 species
CGCGUAGGCGGCUUGGUAAGGGGACGGUGAAAGCCCGGGGCUCAACCCCGGGUCGUGCCGCACCGACUGCCGAGCUCGAGCACACUAGGGGCGAGGUGGAAUUCCGGGUGGUAGCGGUGGAAUGCGUAGAGAUCCGGAAGAACACCGGUGGCGAAGGCGGCCUGCCGGGGUGGUGGCUGACGCUGAGGCGCGACAGCGUGGGGAGCAAACAGGAUUAGAUACCCUGGUAGUCCACGCCGUAAACGAUGGGCACUAGGUGCUCGGGGGAGGCGACCCUUCGGGUGCCGGCGCUAACGCAUUAAGUGCCCCGCCUGGGGAGUACGGCCGCAAGGCUGAA